UGGGGAAUAUUGGACAAUGGGGGAAACCCUGAUCCAGCAAUGCCGCGUGAGUGAAGAAGGCCUUAGGGUUGUAAAGCUCUUUCGCCCGCGAAGAUAAUGACGGUAGCGGGAGAAGAAGCCCCGGCUAACUCCGUGCCAGCAGCCGCGAUAAUACGGAGGGGGCUAGCGUUGUUCGGAAUUACUGGGCGUAAAGCGUACGUAGGCGGAUGCGCAAGUUGGGGGUGAAAUCCCGGGGCUUAACCUCGGAAUUGCCCUCAAAACUGCACGUCUUGAGACCGAGAGAGGUAAGGGGAAUUCCUAGUGUAGAGGUGAAAUUCGUAGAUAUUAGGAAGAACACCAGUGGCGAAGGCGCCUUACUGGCUCGGUACUGACGCUGAGGUACGAAAGCGUGGGGAGCAAAC
rnacentral:rRNA from 1 species